rnacentral:rRNA from 1 species
GAACGUGAAGUACCUUCGGGAGGUGGAAAGUGGCAGAUCGGUGAGUAACGCGUGGGAACGUGCCUUUCGGUUCGGGAUAACCCAGGGAAACUUGGGCCAAUACCGGAUACGCCCUCCGGGGGAAAGAUUCAUUGCCGAAAGAUCGGCCCGCGUCGGAUUAGCUUGUUGGUGAGGUAACGGCUCACCAAGGCGACGAUCAGUAGCUGGUCUGAGAGGAUGAUCAGCCUCACUGGGACUGAGACACGGCCCAGACUCCUACGGGAGGCAGCAGUGGG